GUCUAGCUGAUGCUCAUGAAUAAAUUUCAAAAUUUUGGUCCUAACUUUUAGAGCCCUACAAGGACAGGCACCCCCAUACAUCUCUGACCUGAUACAGCUGCGUACAUCCUCACGUAGUCUGAGAUCAACAGGCCAGAGACUAUUAGUUGUCCCCC